GAUGGCUCAGAGGUUAAGAGCACUG
rnacentral:piRNA from 1 species